rnacentral:rRNA from 1 species
UACCAGCACCCCGAGUGGUCGGGACGAUUAUUGGGCCUAAAGCAUCCGUAGCCGGUCUUGCAAGUCUUCCGUUAAAUCCAGCUGCUUAACGGAUGGGCUGCGGAGGAUACUAUGGAGCUAGGAGGCGGGAGAGGCAAGCGGUACUUAGUGGGUAGGGGUAAAAUCCGUUGAUCCAUUGAAGACCACCAGUGGCGAAGGCGGCUUGCCAGAACGCACUCGGCGGUGAGGGAUGAAAGCUGGGGGAGCAAACCGG